rnacentral:lncRNA from 1 species
CUGUCCAGUUCAUGUUGACAGGAAAAUAACAAAUACAGACAUGACAAUUAAGUAAAGACCUAAAAAGAAAGUUAAAGAAUAGAUUGUUUUAAAAAACUAAACACCUAUAACACUUGAAAGAAGAACUGGUUUCUCGUGAAGACUUGAUUUAUCAAACCUAAGAUCCUGGUAAACCAAAGCAUCAACAAACUGAACGCUGGCAAGUUCAAUGACUCGUACGACAGCAGGCUCCCAUGAAGCUACUGCUUGACCUCGCAGCUCCAGCGUACACAGGACCCUGCAAGGGGCAGGCUGGAGGCAGGCGUCUCAGGUGAGCGCACUGGGGGAAUGGACACCCCAUGCGAGAGAGGAGAGUAAGCGGAGCUCCAGGAGGGGAGAGCGAGAGAGGCAACAGCUGGAGAGAGCGCGCGGACUCCUACAAAACACCGGGAACUUCCACCUAACAUCUGCAGGCGACAGGAAGCAUUGAACACAACUUGAAAUCUUAUGUACCUGCCAUGACUCCUCUCCAAGAGGAGCAUCUCCUCAGAGGAGGGGAGUUUUCUCCUCUCACAGGAAAUCCACAGCGUGUUAGACACAGCCAGACAGACAGAAGGAGGGUAGAUAUCAACAAGUAAAAGGACAGAAGAUGACUUUGGCAGUUAUGCAACAAUUACAGAAAAAGAAUUUAAAAGAAACUAUUUUUUUCCACUUGAAGUCCAGAGUACACGUUAUUACAACUCCCGGCUAUGACGACAUCAGCAGAACUCAACCAAAAACGUUGAUGGGCUUAACGGGUAUCAGAGGAAAGACUCUUCCUUGAGAACAACAGACAGCCCUGCUGUUUGCCUAGCCAGCUCUACAGAGCAUUAAGGAACUUGAAGUCAGAUAGUCUAAAGACAAGCAGGCAUUGGUGGAGAUCUCAACCAGCUUGGAAGGUAAUGUGCUGAGCAACAACAAUUCCUGGCAUGACCCUCUGAAUCAAAAAUCUAAGGUGUAAACUUGUUUAAACAACAACCCUCAGAGAGACAGCCAAGAAAUUAGAAAGAAAAUAGAGCAAAAGAGCAGAGAUUUAUUGAACUCAAAUGGUGGACUUCCUCCUUAGCUGGAAGUCCACAGCAGAGAAAGUCAAAUAACAUGAGAAGAUGUCUCUCUAUACUUCAUAAUGGAUUCACGGAACGGGCUGUAUGAGAGGCCAGAUGUCCCAGCUCCUGUAAGUAUGAGCAUGGCUCCAAACUAAGCUAAAGUGCCAGAAAUGUUGGGAACCCUAGUAGUGUCAAAGCUGGAAAGAGGUCUCCCCAAGCCCCCUCUCCCUCUCCGCCAGCCGAAGGCACUGCUGCGGUCAUUCUUUCUGAGGGUUUUCCCCUCUUGCAAGAUGUGAAACUCAGUCAUAUUACAACACUUUUACAGGCCUGGGAGAUAACAACUUCCCAUCCCAAUAUGGAUCACAAAUAUUUGCCACCUUUUUUCUUAAGAAAUAAAUUCAUAACAAAAUAAAUUAAAAUCCUGGAA